rnacentral:rRNA from 1 species
UAAGGGCGUACGGUGGAUGCCUUGGCGAUAUCAGCCGAAGAAGGACGCGGUAAGCUGCGAUAAGCUACGGAGAGGUGCAAGCAACCUGUGACCCGUAGAUUUCCGAAUGGGGGAACCCGGCAGUGGUUAUGCACUGUCACCCAUAGCUUAGACUAUGAGGAGGGCACCUGGGGAACUGAAACAUCUAAUUACCCAGAGGAACAGUAAUCAAACGAGAUUUUCUUAGUAGCGGCGAGCGAACGGGAAAGAGGCCAAACCGGAGCGGGCAACCGCACCGGGGUUGAGGACAGUCAUCAAGUGUAAAUGAGGUAGAAGAAUCGAGCUGGAAAGCUCAGCCGCAGAAGGUGAAAGCCCUGUAAUCGAAACCUUGCAUACAUGGGACUGUAUCCAGAGUACCACGAGACACGUGAAACCUUGUGGGAAGCAGGGGGGACCACCCUCCAAGCCAAAAUACUGAUAUCGACCGAUAGCGCAUAGUACCGUGAGGGAAAGGUGAAAAGAACCCCUGGCGGGGAGUGAAAGAGAACCUGAAACCGUAUGUCUACAAACAGUCGAAGUCUGUAUAUAUAUCAGGACGACGGCGUGCCUAUUGAAGAAUGAACCGACGAGUUACUGUUGCUAGCGAGGUUAAGUGGAAAACAUGGAGCCGCAGCGAAAGCGAGUCUGAACAGGGCGUUUAGUUAGUAAUAGUAGACCCGAAACCGUAGUGAUCUAUCCAUGGCCAGGUUGAAGCACAGGUAAAAUUGUGUGGAGGACCGAACUCGUGAGCGUUGAAAAGCUUUGGGAUGAGUUGUGGAUAGGGGUGAAAUGCCAAUCGAACACGGAGAUAGCUGGUUCUCCCCGAAAUAGCUUUAGGGCUAGCCUCGAGGUAGAGAGUAUAGGCGGUAGAGCACUGAUCGGGCUAGGGGCCAUACCGGUUACCGAACCUAGUCAAACUACGAAUGGCUAUACUUAUACUCGGGAGUCAGACAGUGAAUGAUAAGGUCCAUUGUCAAGAGGGAAACAGCCCAGAACACCGACUAAGGUCCCCAAUGUUACACUAAGUGGCGAAGGAUGUGGAAUUUCCAAAACAACCAGGAUGUUGGCUUAGAAGCAGCCACCAUUUAAAGAGUGCGUAAUAGCUCACUGGUCGAGAGACUCUGCGCCGAAAAUGUCCGGGGCUAAAGUGUAAAACCGAAGUCGUGUCAUAUGCAGCAAUGUAUAUGGGUAGGGGAGCGUUCUCAUCGGGCUGAAGCAGUACCGUAAGGAGUUGUGGACUGAUGAGAAGUGAGAAUGUCGGUAUGAGUAGCGAAAAGAAUGGUGAGAAUCCAUUCCACCGAAAGCCUAAGGGUUCCUGAGCAACGAUCGUCGUCUCAGGGUAAGUCGGGACCUAAGCCGAGGCGGAACAGCGUAGGCGAUGGACAACAGGUUGAAAUUCCUGUACCGGUGUGAAUCGUUUGAUCGAUGGAGUGACACAGUAAGGUAGGUCAGCACGCGAUUGGAAGAGCGUGUUUAAGCAGGUAGGUUGAGCUAUAGGCAAAUCCGUAGCUCUAAAAGCUGAGAUGUGAUGACGAGCGACUAGCAAUAGUCGCGAAGUGAUUGAUCCUACACUGUCGAGAAAAGCUUCUAGGUAGAGACACAUCGCCCGUACCAAAACCGACACAGGUAGGCGGGGAGAGAAUCCUAAGGUGCGCGGGAAAACCCUCGUUAAGGAACUCGGCAAAAUGCCUCCGUAACUUCGGGAAAAGGAGGACUCAUGUAGUGUGAAGAGCAGAAGCGCUUGGAGCAUGAAUGAGUGGCACAAGAGAGGCGCAAGCGACUGUUUACCACAAACACAGGUGCCUGCUAAAGCGAAAGCUGAUGUAUAGGUGCUGACACCUGCCCGGUGCUGGAAGGUUAAGAGGAGGGGUUAGACUUCGGUCGAAGCUCUGAAUUGAAGCCCCAGUAAACGGCGGCCGUAACUAUAACGGUCCUAAGGUAGCGAAAUUCCUUGUC